rnacentral:rRNA from 1 species
AGAAUCAACGCUGGCGGCGUGCCUAACACAUGCAAGUCGAACGAGAAAGUGGAGCAAUCCAUGAGUAAAGUGGCGCACGGGUGAGUAACACGUGACUAACCUACCCUUGAGUGGGGGAUAACCUAGAGAAAUCUGGGCUAAUACCGCAUAAUACCUUCGGGUCAAAGGAGCAAUUCGCUUAAGGAGGGGUCGCGGCCGAUUAGCUAGUUGGCGGGGUAAUGGCCCACCAAGACUGUGAUCGGUA